GAUGAAGAACGCAGCGAAAUGCGAUACGUAAUGUGAAUUGCAAAUUCAGUGAAUCAUCGAGUCUUUGAACGCACAUUGCGCCCCCUGGUAUUCCGGGGGGCAUGCCUGUCCGAGCGUCAUUGCUGCCCUCAAGCACGGCUUGUGUGUUGGGCCCCGUCCUCCGAUCCCGGGGGACGGGCCCGAAAGGCAGCGGCGGCACCGCGUCCGGUCCUCGAGCGUAUGGGGCUUUGUCACCCGCUCUGUAGGCCCGGCCGGCGCUUGCCGAUCAACCCAAAUUUUUUAUCCAGGUUGACCUCGGAUCAGGUAGGGAUACCCGCUGAACUUAAGCAUAUCAAUGAGCGGAGGA
rnacentral:misc_RNA from 1 species